GAUGAACGCUGGCGGCGUGCCUAACACAUGCAAGUCGAACGGGAAUCUUCGGAUUCUAGUGGCGGACGGGUGAGUAACGCGUAAGAAUCUAACUUCAGGACGGGGACAACAGUUGGAAACGACUGCUAAUACCCGAUAUGCCGCAAGGUGAAACCUAAUUGGACUGGAGAAGAGCUUGCGUCUGAUUAGCUAGUUGGUGGGGUAAGAGCCUACCAAGGCGACGAUCAGCAGCUGGUCUGAGAGGAUGAGCAGCCACACUGGGACUGAGACACGGCCCAGACUCCUACGGGAGGCAGCAGUGGGGGAAUUUUUCCGCAAUGGGCGAAAACCUGACGGAGCAACGCCGCGUGAGGGAGGAAGGUCUUUGGAUUGUAAACCUCUUUUCUCAAGGAAGAAGUUCUGACGGUACUUGAGGAAUCAGCCUCGGCUAACUCCGUGCCAGCAGCCGCGGUAAU
rnacentral:rRNA from 1 species